rnacentral:rRNA from 1 species
CUACGGGCGGCUGCAGUGGGGAAUCUUGCGCAAUGGGCGAAAGCCUGACGCAGCAACGCCGCGUGCGGGAUGAAGGCCUUCGGGCUGUAAACCGCUUUCAGCAGGAACGAAAAUGACGGUACCUGCAGAAGAAGGAGCGGCCAACUACGUGCCAGCAGCCGCGGUGACACGUAGGCUCCAAGCGUUGUCCGGAUUUAUUGGGCGUAAAGAGCUCGUAGGCGGUUGAGUAAGUCGGGUGUGAAAACUCUGGGCUUAACCCGGAGACGCCAUCCGAUACUGCUCUGACUUGAGUUCAGGAGGGGAGUGGGGAAUUCCUAGUGUAGCGGUGAAAUGCGCAGAUAUUAGGAGGAACACCGGUGGCGAAGGCGCCACUCUGGACUGAAACUGACGCUGAGGAGCGAAAGCAUGGGUAGCAAACAGGAUUAGAUACCCCCGUAGUC